GCAGGGAAUCUUGCGCAAUGGGCGAAAGCCUGACGCAGCGACACCGCGUGGGGGAAGAAGGCCUUCGGGUUGUAAACCCCUUUUCCCGGGGAAGAGCAAGGACGGUACCCGGGGAAUAAGGUUCGGCUAACUACGUGCCAGCAGCCGCGGUAAUACGUAGGAACCGAGCGUUGUCCGGAUUUACUGGGCGUAAAGUGCGCGUAGGCGGUUUGUUAAGUCUCAUGUGAAAUCUCCCGGCUCAACUGGGAGGGGUCAUGGGAAACUGGCAGACUCGAGGGCAGCAGAGGAGAGUGGAAUUCCCGGAGUAGUGGUGAAAUGCGUAGAUACCGGGAGGAACACCAGAGGCGAAGGCGACUCUCUGGGCUGUACCUGACGCUGAGGCGCGAAAGCGUGGGGAGCAAACCGG
rnacentral:rRNA from 1 species